AACUACUAGUUUGGCUAAGGAAUUUGAUUGCCAACUUUUGUAAAUUUGGAGCACUACUUCCAAACAACCUCCACCACUCAUCUAAAUACAAAUAAAUAACAAUGGCAUUAGAAAUCAAUGAAAUAAGCUACAAAGGAACAAAGUUAAAAAGAAUAAACAACAAUGACUAAAAUGGAACAAAGUCAAACAAAAAUUAAUAAAUAUAACUUGCCCAGUUAAGUAGUCUUCGAAGUAGCAAGUGUAAGCUCCCUACCAAAACUCCCCAUCCGCUCUCGAUAAAUUCUAGUUUCAUCCAACAACCUAACCUUAAUAUUGGUGGCUUUUGAUUCAAUGACAUCAAGAAGAGCCACCAUAACUUUUGGCUUCCCACAAAAUGAUUCUUGAUUAUAUUGAAAACAAUGAUUCAACCAAUAUGUGGCUGCGUGAACACUUUUACGCAAUUGCCAUCAUACAAAUAUGCAAUGGAGGGUCUCUCAUCCAUAUCAACAAUUCUCAAUAAAUGCAUCAAAGGCUCCACAAUUUUAGUUACAAUCAAACAAUCAUUCCAAAACAAUUUCUCCAAUAUGUAAGAAGCCACAACCUUGCCUUGUGCAUCCUUUGCAUAUUUAGACUCCUUAAAAUCCUUACCAGUCACCAAAGCCUGCAAAUCAUGCAUAUGAUCAUAAAUUACAAUGCAAUGAAAGUUGUGGCAAAACGAGUAGGCCCCUGACGAAUGAUUUCUAUCCAAUGUUUUCUCUUCCUCAACCAAUCCAAUCACCAACCAUGAGUAUAAAUGUACUUGGUUAUCUUCGAUGCCUUCUUAAGCUAAUUCAACAAUAUGAUUCAUCUUAGUUAUGUCCCCUAAAAUCAAGUUUAAACAAUGUGCAUCACAAGGAGACCGACUAAUGCUUUUGUAUUGUUGUGAAACUAAUUUCCUUGCAAGCACAUAAUUAGCCCUAUUAUCUGUUACCAUGUGAAAUACAUUAGUUGGUCCAACCCAUUUAAUUACUUCUACGAAUAAAUUAGCCAAAAGUUUGUCACUCUUUAAUGCAUCAGAAGCAUCAACAAAUUUAACAAAACAAAUUCCACGUGGACAAUAGACAAGAAAAUUAUUCAAAGAUCUAUGACUACCAUCUAUCCAAUCAUCUCCCAUAAUGGUACACUCACAUUCACCCCUAGAGACCUCAUGAUUUCUACAAAGAGUUGCACCUCUUUUUUCGAAUCUCUAAGCAAAUUGACUCGCACAUCAUGAUAAGAAGGGACCUAUAACCCAAACCGACUCUAAUGGAAGCAUCAAACAUAGGCUGAAAAUAUAUUGAAUUCAUGGCAAUAAAAGGAAUACCACAAUCAUAAAAUCAUCUAGCUACAACCAUAUUUGCCCUCCACACAGUUUCUUCACCAGUCAUAACACUUUUUAUAGUAGGUUGUUUCUCAGGUUGGCCUUUGAAGUAAAGAAGUUACUUGUUGGAGACUGAUAAAUACAAAGCUAGACUAGUAGCUAAAGGUUUUACACAAAAAGAAUGAAUUGAUUACUUUGAAACUUUUUCUCUAGUUACUAGAAUUACUACAAGUAGAACUUUGUUAGCUCUAGCAUCUAUACACAACUUUAGCGAUACAUCAAAUGAAUGUCAAAACCGAUUUUUUUAAUGGAGAUUUAGAAGAAGAGAUAUAUAUGGAGCAACUUGAAGGUUUUGAGGUUAAAGGACAAGAAUAUAAGGUGGACAAAUUAGUGAAAUCUUUGUAUGGUUUGAAACAAGCGCCUAAGCAAUGGCAUGAGAAGUUUGAUAAAAUUAUUCUAGAUUAUGGAUUUAAGAUUAAUGAGCAUGAUAAGUGUUUAUAUCAUAAGGAAGAUAAUGGACAUGUAAGCUAUGUACAUUUAUACGUGAAUGCUAUCUUAAUUUUUCAGACUAACCUACACAUUUUUAUCAAUGUAAAUGUCUCUCUCUAAGAAAGUUGAUAUAAAGAUUUAAGAGAGGCUCGUGUAAUUUUGGGAAUGAAAUUAAAAAGAACUAAUCAAGGGAUAACUUUGACUCAAUCAAAUACUAUAGAGAACAAGCUAAAGAAAUUUGGACAUUAUGAUGUUAAACCUGUGCAUAGUCCUUAUGAUUCAAGUACUCAUUUGAAGAAAAAAUUAACAGAGCCUGCAUCUCAAUUAAAAUAUUCUCAAGUCAUUGACUCUUUACUAUAGUUCUCAAAUAGAACAAGGCCAGACAAAGCAUACACAGUUGGAAGACUUGGUCCUCAUACUUAAAAUCCAAGUAAAGAACAUUGGAAUGUUUUAAAUAAAAUAAUCUCAAGUCAUUGGAUCUUUACUAUACUUCUCAAAUAAAACAAGGCCGGACAAAGCAUACGCAGCUGGAAGGCUUAGUCGUUAUACUCAAAAUCCAAGUAAAGAACAUUGGAAUGCUUUAAAUAGAGUUCUUUGUUAUCUUAGAGGUACACUUGAUUAUUCACUAUGUUAUCGAGGCUUUCCUAACGUAAUAGAAGGAUAUUGUGAUGCAAAUUGGAUUAUCGAUAGCUCAAAGGUCAAAGUGACUACUGGUUAUGUAUUUAUGUUAGGCAGGGCAGCUAUAUCUUGGGGUUCUAAAUAACAAACAAUUAUUUCUAGAACAUGUACGGAUGGUGAAUGGUUAAAAAACCUUAUGUUGGAACUUCCACUUGUAGAUAAGACUAUGCCAUCCAUAUCAAUACAUCAAUACAUUGUGAUUACAAAGCUGUGAUAGAUGUUUUGAGACAGUCUCAUUCAAACAAGAAGAUUAAAUGGAAUAUACAAAUAAGGUAUAAAUCAGUCAAAAGUUUGUUGAGCAGAAAUAUGAUCUCUUAAUUUUGUGAAAUCUGAGAAAAUUUUGGCUGAUAAUCUAACUAAAGGAAUGCCCAAGAAGGGUGUUUAUGAAUUAUCGAGGGGAAUGGGGUUAAGCCCAUAGGGACUAGGGAGUCACCAACAGGGGUAACCCAACCUUUUGAUUAGAGAUCCCAUGAAGAAGGUUCAAUGGGUAGAAACAACCUGGCGUGCGUGAACUAGUAAUAAAAGCACAAAUUUUAUAGGAGAGCAUCUCCUCCCCAUACCUAUGGUUAUAGUGCUUAUUUGUGUGAUAUAGGAAGGGUGUUACCCUAAAUGAGCCCAAGGCAAAUAUUUCUGCGAGAUGCAUUUCACAUGCUUCCUUGGAGGACUGACCUAAGUGAGAGCUGUCAUGAGGCCGUGACUAUGGAAUAUGGGCUGUUCCUAGAAGUUCUCAUGAUAAUCAAGAUUAGAGCGCAAGGCCAUUAAUACCGCUAACCUUUUAGAACCAAACUUCGUGUCAAUACUGUGUGUGACAAGUUGAAAUUUGAUCAAGGGACCUAAUUCAAGGCGUAGUCCAUUAUGGCUCCCUCAAGUAGAAACUGUCAACACCAAGUGCAGGCUCAAGUCCUGAAGACUCCUGCACCUAAUGCAAAGUAUAAUCCUCUCCUCCUUUGUAUAUCGUAUUGUUUAUUAGCAACAACUUUGAUAAAAAGGCACGCUUGAUGGAAGCUCAAUCAGUGCUACUUGUAUGAAUAACUACCAACAUUCCAAUGCUCCAGUCUUGGAACAUACUUGCUUACUUAAUCCCAUCUCAACACUUUAACACUCUUAUUGUCAUAGUCUCAUUCUUAGGCUCCAUGUCCUUUUUCUAGCUAACAUUCUCCAACUUUUUCUUCAGCUACAUAUACAUUAAAAUAUAUGAACAUGAUGCCUCUAGUAUAGCUGUUGGCAAAUUACAAAGAUCUUGGUUUCUUCUCAAAUAUCUUAUGAAGCGUCGAAUACCGGUUAAGUAUCGGUUUUCAGGAGAGUAGUGUUUGAGAUUAUUGAUUCCAGGAGGGAGGGUUAGUUUUGUUUCAGUUCUGAUGGGGUCAUAUGAGGAGGAAUGAAAAUAAUAUGGAAUACUCACUCACUAUCAAACUAGAAACUGUGGAUAACAACAAAAGGUUUCAGAAGAUUACGAAAACAUGAACAACACAGAGUAAUAUGGAAUGAAAACGUUACAAAACUAGAAACUUCAUGUGGCUGAAUACACUCACUAUCAAACUUAAGCAAGAGAGAGAGAGAGAGAAAGAGGUCCAUUUACUCCUACGCUUAUUAAAAAUUUAUUCUAAUGUAUUAUGGUUUAUAAUAUAAUGCAUGUGACAAGCAUAUUAUAUAUUAUAGAUUACAAUAUCCUUCACAUGAGAUUGUCAAAAGAACUCCCAUUACUCUAUCUCACCUAACUUGAGCAAUUAGUUUUAUAAAUAUGGUGUGUCUUGGACAGCAUCCUGUAUGACUGAUCAUUUUCUAAAUAUAUACUCACCAUUGAUAGAAAACUUAUAGAGUCCAUAGCCAUAAUUUACGUCACAUGUAUUUAUUUCCUCAUACAAGUUUUGAAAUGUUACAGGAGUUGAUUCUUUUCAAAAAUGACUAAAACUAUGCAUAUGAUAUUAGAGAAGGAAAUUUUCAAAUAAUACAACAGAUAACUAGUCCUCUUCCUAAUAAUUAAUAGAACAUAAUAUAAUGCAUCGCAAGCACUAAUAUAUAAGUUAAGCACUAAUAUUUUAAAUCUUGUUUACAAUUGUUGUUGAUAAAUAAUAAUAUUCAAUAAUUGCAAUCAAAAUUUGAGCACAAGUCUUUUAAGUUUUAAGACAAAUAAAAUGGGCCAAGCAAAAUUGAAAUAAUUUCAUUGGGCUAAUGGAUAAAAGUCUAACCUCUUUUCCAUUGUGAAAAGUAUUUAUCUUUUGUACCACCCAACUAAAUUAUGAAAUAUGAUAUCAAAGGGAAUUGCUAAAUUCACUCCACUUUCAUAGCGAGCACAUUUAACAUCUAUUACAGUUGAUAAAAAAAACAAAAACAAAAAAUCUCCCUAUUAAAUAAUAUAUCACGAAUCAGAUGCUAGAAUGAAGCAAUUGGAGACGGCAUCUUAAGUUAUGUUAGGAUAUACCAAUUUGUCACAAGGAACGAAGAAGUACUAUUUUGUUAUAAAACAUUUUAUAUGUCCAAAAUAACGGCAAAAGGGAUAUCAAGGGGAAUGCAACCUUCGGCCUUCGCUGAAGUGGGUAAAUGCCCUUAACAAAAAUAAGUUGGCAUCAAACAUUGAUCUUAAAUAGACAACUUGCCCCUCUAACUAAGUCGUUUCCAGAUUAGUGCAAACAGCUAAGUUUGAAAUGGCUAAUACAAUAAUAAUAGAUAGGACUCCUAAAAUUAUCCACUCUGAGGCAGCCAUUCAAAUAUUAUAAAUGAGACACAGGACAACUUUGGUAAAAAAAAAAUGUUAUAUACACUUUUACAAAUAGCUUAUAAAAAAGAUCAAUAGAGAAAUAAUCCACAAAAUUGAGAAAUACACAUUUUUUAUUAACUAAUUUCAAGUAAUACAUUGAAAAGUAAUUGGUACAUUGUACUUACACGCAUCACGACAAGGUAACAUGUUGGGAAAUCUAGUUCAAUGCAUCCACCAGUCUCCUAAUCUCCCUUUUUUCUACCAUUUCAACAACUCCCAUCGAAACAAGCUCGGAGUUGAGCAAAGCCACGAAUUGAAAGGGUUUUACGCUUCUCCCAGAAGAAACCGAGAAAGAAACCGCGAAAGAAAAGGCGCAGAACAGCCGGAAACGUUCAUUACCGCACGGAACCCAUAUAACCUGAGGGAGCCUGAUAAUCCGCCCCAAAAUUGGGCUCCGACUCGACUGUACGAACUGUAAAAUCACCAAACAGUAACUGUACGCACUGUACAGCAGCUCCAAACAGCAGGGGAGGCCUAACCGCAGGGAAAGAAGAGCGGCGCGUGAGGGCGCGUCCAACCUCCGAUUUGGUCGAUCUUCCUCCGGCUAUAAAGCCCCGAUCGAUUCUGACCAACCUCAAUUACAUCACACUUGAGUACUCCAACAAAAUCAGUAAUAAAAGCAUAUAAAUUGCACCACUGAAACCAAAGCCCCAAGUAGCCAAGUGAACUAUAGCUUCUUGAUCCAUGUGGCUGCUGCCUCAUUUGUAUAGAACUAGUAGUUUUGUCUGGUUGAAUCCUUUGUGACACUGAACAAGGACAAGAAGAGUAUUGUUUCUACUUUCUAGUUGGUGAUAUAUUUAAAGAGCACGCAGACGCCUGUUUUUUAGUGCUGGAGUAAUAUAUUACCAAGAAGGGUUGAUGUUUGUUUUUUGUUUUGACAUUUUCAGGUUUGUCUUAUAUAUAUAUAUAUUUGUUAAGUUAUUUUGUAAGUUGUGUGUUUGUAAGUCUUAAGUAUGAAGUAUCGGCAAAUAUCAUUCUACCGGAU
rnacentral:lncRNA from 1 species